AACGCGAAGAACCUUACCUACCCUUGACAUGUCUGGAAUCCUGAAGAGAUUUGGGAGUGCUCGAAAGAGAGCCAGAACACAGGUGCUGCAUGGCCGUCGUCAGCUCGUGUCGUGAGAUGUUGGGUUAAGUCCCGCAACGAGCGCAACCCUUGUCAUUAGUUGCUACGAAAGGGCACUCUAAUGAGACUGCCGGUGACAAACCGGAGGAAGGUGGGGAUGACGUCAGGUCAUCAUGGCCCUUAUGGGUAGGGCUACACACGUCAUACAAUGGCCGGGACAGAGGGCUGCCAACCCGCGAGGGGGAGCUAAUCCCAGAAACCCGGUCGUAGUCCGGAUCGUAGUCUGCAACUCGACUGCGUGAAGUCGGAAUCGCUAGUAAUCGCGGAUCAGCUUGCCGCGGUGAAUACGUUCCCGGGCCUUGUACACACCG
rnacentral:rRNA from 1 species